rnacentral:misc_RNA from 1 species
UCUUUCGUUAUCACGCGUGCAGACGAUUUCUGUUUCUUAUUAGUAGAUAUGGUUGUGUGAAAUAAAGGCAGAUGUUUGAUACACGCCACAGAAGAACCAUAAUUGAAAGAUGGGUUGCGGGGCAGCGAAAUCGGCAAAUGUAAGAGGAGAUACUUCCACAGAUGAGCUAGAAGUAAUUUCAUCAAGUAUUACUCAAAUAAGGGACCAUGCACCUCUUGAAGUGGCUGAUACUGGAGCUCACCCACCUCGACGAGAUGGCCCCAUUCGAAGUCUCUAUUUCCAAUCUGGAACGGGAACUUCUAAUCCUGCCUUACCAGGAGUCAUACCAGAAUCUCUGUUUGGUGCAGAAAUGGAUCUUUCGGCCUCCCGAAAGAGUGAAAGUCUUAUUAAGAUGCAUCCACCAAAAAAACCACAAAGACUCGGUGAAGAUUUGGAGAUUCUAAAACCAAAGACUGCUCUUAAUGAAUCUAAAACUCCGGUAGUAUUUCAGACAUCAAGGGACAAAGACACUUCUCAUCUACUGGAUCCUAUAACAAUAGUCAAACCUUGGGCUCGCUAGCAAAGAUUGCAAAAGUCAAUUCAACUUGUAAGGACAUUCUGAAACAGAACAAAGAUUUUUGAAAAGUGUUUUUACAUAAGGAAAAAUAAAACUACUUGAAAGCGAUACCGAGUGCCUGAAAGCAAGAAGAGGACCUUGUGUUUACAAACGAAAAGAUUUAUGAUGAAUUAGCACCUACAUUUUGGCCUUAACGUCAUGUGUCAUUCCGACCCGAGCUUAAGCCAAAAUAUAUCAUUAUCCAUUGUUGUCAUCCAGGGACAAUGUCAUCAUAAUCUAGACUUGCCCUUAUUUUUGGAAAUGCAUUUUAGGACAAAAUGCAUUUAUAUAUACUUUGCCCCAGUUUCGAAGCCUUUGUGAUUAUUGCUGGGAAAACUGUGGUGUUUGAGAGCACUCAUGCUUAUCAAUAUCAUUCUUUAAAACGCACAGAUGCAUUUCUUUUUGUCUCAGUAAUGUACGUUACGUGUUAUAUAUGAAUAAAAUGCACCAUUUGUAUUGGUUUUGUGAAUAAAA